rnacentral:lncRNA from 10 species
AGAGAACACUAGCCGCCUCCGGUCCCCGGUGGGUGGCUGUAUGUGUGGAAAUGAAACUGGGAGGAGGAGGGAGAGAGGGAAGAGCGGGCACGCACUUCUCGGCUGUCAUCCACCUUGCCUCUUCCGACCCUCCAGCCCGCUCCCCACCGGGGUAGGGGGUUGGGGGAGGUGGGAGGAAAACAGUUCAGCAAACGCCCACCUCCAAGUACCAGUAGCUGGUUCAGCUGUCGGUGAAUCAGACACUGUCUCAGCAGCUUGUCACCUGCGCUUGGGAGGGGAACAGAGGGCAACCUUGGAACUUGGGAGGGGGAGGUUGGGAAAGUGCAGGAUCCAGCACUGGGCCUGGGCCUGGGCGUAGGGGUGACGCCUACGGCUCGGAAAAGGGCUAUCCACCUCCCUACACCUACACACGUCUCGACCCAGUACCCGGACGCCGAGUAGAGGGGGUGGGACAAGAGCAUGGGGGCCGUACAGAAGGGGGAACUGGAAGAAGGGGAGGGGAGAAUGGGUUGGGGGUGUGCUGCGGCGGGAAGCGCUGGGUGCCGGGCGGGCGCGGCCGCGGGGAGAGCUGCUGCCCGGUGCCUGCCCGCGCGAGGUUAUGCGAGGUAACCGAGCGGAGAGGAGGAGGGAGGCGGCGGGGGCCGCGGGCCGGGGUGUCUGGCACUCGUUGGACAAAGAGAUGAUGAAACGUGAGCGCUAUAUUUACCAAGGGGGUGGAGACGGGGCGGGGGGGGCGGAGAGUAAAAAGGACAAACUGUUCCACAACAACCACAGGAAACACAGCCCAUUCUGACUCACUGGGAGGGCCACACCGAACCCCUCGCAGGCUUAGCCUGAAGGCAGACGCGGGGCGCAGGUGCUCCCGGGACCGGACCGAACCUGGGCUGGGGCUGGAUUGAUUUAUAAAUAAAGGCACAUUCGAUCCAAGAGUGCGUGUGUGCGUGCGUGUGGUUCUUGUGGGGUAGGGGAGAGCACGGAAUGGCAGGAAUGUUUCCUAACCCCUUGGCCGGGCCAUCGCGGGAGAGAUCUGCCGGCAAACUCUGGGAGCGCAAUUCCUGCAAAGUCAUCUCCUCCCGCACAGCCUGGCCGGCCUGCCCGCCACGCCCCGCCCGGGGACAGCAGCACCCGCCUCCCCCACUCCCUCCCCACCCCCGCAGCCCAUGGAGUUGGGGUGCGGUGCUUGCUAUGUUUAGAAGCUGAUGUCAUCUCGACACCCUACUCUGCAGUGUUCCUAGGAGGACCGCAGGGCAGGUUUUCCUCUUCCUCGCGGGCGUGGGGGAUGGAAGGUGGCCAAGGUGCCCUGCCCUCUCCCCAACACAGGAACCCCACACCCAUCUACCCGGGAGAUUAAAAGAAAAAAAAAUGCAACACCGC